rnacentral:rRNA from 1 species
AACGAACGCUGGCGGCAUGCCUAACACAUGCAAGUCGAACGCGUGGAGCGAUCCACGAGUGGCGCACGGGUGAGUAACGCGUGGGAACCUGCCCUGGAGUGUGGGAUAACCCGGCGAAAGCCGGGCUAAUACCGCAUACGACCUGAGGGUGAAAGAUUUAUCGCUCUAGGAGGGGCCCGCGUCGGAUUAGCUAGUUGGUGAGGUAAUGGCUCACCAAGGCGAUGAUCCGUAGCUGGUCUGAGAGGAUGAUCAGCCACACUGGGACUGAGACACGGCCCAGACUCCUACGGGAGGCAGCAGUGGGGAAUAUUGGACAAUGGGGGCAACCCUGAUCCAGCAAUGCCGCGUGGGCGAUGAAGGCCUUCGGGUUGUAAAGCCCUUUUGCACGCGACGAUGAUGACGGUAGCGUGAGAAGAAGCCCCGGCUAACUUCGUGCCAGCAGCCGCCUAA